rnacentral:tRNA from 1 species
GUAGCUGUAGCUCAGUUGGUAAAGCAUUUGUCUAGAAUGCAUAAAGCCCUGGGUUUAAUCCCUAGCACUACG